rnacentral:rRNA from 1 species
CGGGGGAGCAAGCGUUGUUCGGAUUUACUGGGCGUAAAGGGCGCGUAGGCGGCCAGCGCAAGUCAGUUGUGAAAUCUCCGGGCUUAACUCGGAAAGGUCAACUGAUACUGCGCGGCUAGAGUGCAGAAGGGGCAACUGGAAUUCUCGGUGUAGCGGUGAAAUGCGUAGAUAUCGAGAGGAACACCUGCGGCGAAGGCGGGUUGCUGGGCUGACACUGACGCUGAUGCGCGAAAGCCAGGGGAGCGAACGGGAUUAGAUACCCCGGUAGUCCUGGCCUUAAACGAUGGAUGCUUGGUGUCUGGAGUUUUAUAGUCUCCGGGUGCCGUAGCUAACGCGUUAAGCAUCCCGCCUGGGGAGUACGGUCGCAAGACUG